CUAGCCGUAAACGAUGAUAACUAGGUGUGGGAGGUAUCGACCCCUUCCGUGCCGACGCUAACGCAUUAAGUUAUCCGCCUGGGGAGUACGGCCGCAAGGUUAAAACUCAAAGGAAUUGACGGGGGCCCGCACAAGCGGUGGAUUAUGUGGUUUAAUUCGACGCUACGCGAAGAACCUUACCUGGGCUUGAACUGUAGGUGGUAGCAUUUAUGAAAGUAGAUGCGACCCGCAAGGGAGCCUAUAGAGGUGC
rnacentral:rRNA from 1 species